AGUGAAAUAACCCACUCUGAGGCUCUCUAUGGCUGCUGACCUCUCUCGUGGUGGUGUGAACAUCUCACAGCUAUUCUCAGGCAGUUACGAGCAGUUUUUUCAAACCGUUGUUUGUGGAUUUCGGAGGAAUCUGAAAUGUGCCGUGACAGGUGUUUUGCAAGUAAUCAAUGAGAGAUAGCAUAUUCCUCUAUGAGCAUAUUCCUCUAUGUUGGCUCUGCUGUACCAGUCCCAUGGUUCACCAAGUACCAGCAGUCUACCAGGCAGAGUCCCUCCAAACCUUCUAUGGUUACAUGUUUAGUUCUGAGUGAUUCAGCUUUGAUCCAAAUUGAGAGUAUCUAGGCCACCAUCCAGUAGAACCUACCUCCUGGUUAAAAAACCUCUGACAUCAUUAAGGGAUUAUGGUGC
rnacentral:lncRNA from 1 species